UACAGAGGAGGCAAGCGUUGUUCGGAAUUACUGGGCGUAAAGGGCGCGUAGGCGGCCUCUUAAGUCGAACGUGAAAUCCCCGGGCUCAACCCGGGAACUGCGUCCGAUACUGGGAGGCUUGAAUCCGGGAGAGGGAUGUGGAAUUCCAGGUGUAGCGGUGAAAUGCGUAGAUAUCUGGAGGAAUACCGGUGGCGAAGGCGGCAUCCUGGACCAUAACUGACGCUGAGGCGCGAAAGCUAGGGGAGCAAACGGG
rnacentral:rRNA from 1 species